AAUCAGAAUUCCUAUGAUCAUUUACACAUUUGUUCAGAAGCUGAGUGGGUAGUUUCCAAUGAGUGCAAUCAUUCUAAAAUAUGUAUUUUAGGCUUAAGCUUGAAAAUUCAGACUUACAAGCCACAACAAAACAUGAGGCAGAAGAAAUUGAACAGAAUCGGAGAACCCAAAUUUAAGAAGCAGUCAGAUGAAUGUGAAAAUGGAGAGCCUGCUGUUUUUAGUGCUUCAAGUACAAUUCACUGGGAAAAGGAAAAGAGGCAAGCUGUCCCUGACAAGUAUAAAGAGCAAGUAAUGAAAAUGAAACAAAGUAUCAAAGAUAUGCAAAAAGAGAUACUGGGAAUGAAAUCUCGGGAGCAUUCUACUAAAGUAUCCCUGGAAAUGUAUAAGCAAUUCUAUAUAGCGGAACUGAAUGCUAGAGAAGUACUGAAAGAGGAACAUGCCAAUCUUUCCAGUACUAAUAAGAGGCUACAGCAUGAAAACUCAAGGCUUGCCUUUGAGAUUACGAAGUACAGACAUGUAUACAACCAUGAGGACAGAGAUUCCGCCACAACAGGAAUUUCUGAUGGAAAUCUUCAGAAUGAUUUUUGGACUCUACAGAACAGAAACACAUGUUGGAAGCCAUUAUUUCCAAACGAAAGCCUAGAAUCACCUCUUGGAGGCAAAACUUGCUGGGGUUAGUUAUGGUCUCAACUUUCUACUUUUAGCAGCACACAGUUGGUGUGUUCUGUCACCUUUGAGUUUCUCUACAUUUAGUUUGAUAUUGGCUGUUGGGUUACCGUAUAUUGCCUUAUUGUGUUUUCAGUUUGAUGAACUACUGAGUUGUAUAGUAGACUCGAAGCUCUCACUUUGCAUACACACUCGUUAAUUUGAGUCAGUAAAUGGAACUAAGUUGGUAUAUUUUAAAUUUCCUUGUAGCUGGAAUCUGAAUUAGAUUUUUUGAGGUUAUUGAGAUGGCACAGUGGGUAGAGGUGCUUGCCACCAUGUGACAACCUGAGUUUAAUCCCUGGGUGCCACAAGGUGGGAGGAGAGAACCUCUUCAAAGUUGUCUUCUGACCUCAACACGGGUGUUGUGACAUAAUCAUGCCUCCACAUCCCAUAAGUAAGGAAAUGUAGCACAGAUUUUAAAAAGAGAUGUUUAGAUAAAGACUAUCACUACCAAUAACUUAAGAUAUAUUCUAAGCAUAUUCGUUUUAGCUUUUAGGUGAUAAUACUUUGUAUGGGUGGUAAGACUUUUAGUGAUUUUUUUUCUGAACAAUCUCCUGGGUUAAACAUCUGUCAUUUUAAGUUGAAGACUGACAAAGACUUAGCCACACGUAGAUGGUUUAGUUCAAAAUAUCUGCAAACACUAUGAAUUACAAAAAUAUAGAAAUAUGAACGUUUUAUAGCUCAGAUUUUCCAUUUUCUUAAAUGAAAGUGAGCCCUAAAUUUCCAUUUUCUUUAUGCCACCUUUACCCUGUCUUGCUGGUUUCACUGUCUGUUUGACUCAGAAUUAUUCUAGGGUAUGUUUCUUAGUUUAAGAAUAGCCAAGUAAUUUCUAGAGAUGCUUUAAAAAAUUACCCCUCUCUUUAUUUUUUAAGUUGAAAAUAACAUUUUCAUACAGUAUAUUCUGGUCAUGGUUUUUCCUCCCUGCCUCUUCCCAAAUCCUCCUCAUUUCUCCAUCCAUUCAAAUCCACACCUUGUCUUUAGAAAACAAAUGGGAUGAUAAACAACUGGAAUAAAACAGAACAGAUAAACCA
rnacentral:lncRNA from 1 species